GACGAACGCUGGCGGCGCGCUUAACACAUGCAAGUCGAGCGAAGCGGCGGACGGGUGAGUAACACGUGAUUAACCUGCCUUAGACCUUGUGAUAGCCUCGGGAAACCGUGAUUAAUACCAAAUGGUCUAAGAUGGACUCGCGUCCCAUUAGCUAGUUGGUGGGUAACGGCCCACCAAGGCGACGAUGAGUAGCCGGCCUUGGAGGGUGAACGGCAACAUUGGAAGUGAGAAACGGGCCGAACUCUACGGGAGGGAGCAGUGGGGAAUAUUGCACAAUGGAGGGAACUCUGAUGCAGCGACGCAGCGUGAACGAAGAAGGCUUUCGAGUCGUAAAGUUCUUUUAUAUGGGAAGCGGUACCAUAAGAAAAAGCCCCGGCUAACUACGUGCCAGCAGCCGCGGUAAUAC
rnacentral:rRNA from 1 species